ACUACAAUAUAUAUAAGUCACAACUACAAUGUUUAUAAGUCACAACUACAAUAUAUAUAAGUCACAACUACAAUGUUUAUAAGUCACAACUACAAUAUAUAUAAGUCACAACUACAAUGUUUAUAAGUCACAACUACAAUAUAUAUAUAAGUCACAACUACAAUGUAUAUAAGUCACAACUACAAUGUAUAUAAGUCACAACUACAAUGUAUAUAAGUCACAACUACAAAAUAAACAUGUAAACCCCACUAAAUAAUAAUUAUGAAAGAUACAGAGCUAUAAAAUUUGCAAGGUUGAGCUUUAAUGAUAUCUCUCAAAUUAUUUUCUUAAACUUUCAACUAAAAUGUACCGACACAAUAAGUUAGCUAGUCUAUUUCAUCGUGAACAAACUAUAUUGACAGUAUACUAUUCCCAAAUAAAAAACUUUUACCUUUCAAAUCUAUCAUGUUAUAUAUGCCUCAAAGAGCUUACCAUUUUAAAAGUUUUUUGUUGGCACUUUUUAUAGCAAUUACAAAAAAAUGUAGCAAUUAAAGCAUGACAAGAGCGUAGGUUUGUCAUUUCACUUGUUAUACUCCAUAUAAAAAUAGCAAAGACGAAAGACAAGAAUGUUUUUAUGUUUUGGACAAAUAUACUUAUCGAGAGUAGAGGAAUCCAGUGAAAACUUC